AGCAUAAUUGCUCGCCCUAGAGACGACGUGACUUUACCGUGUCGAGCACCAGGGCAAUCCCCCAUCAGAGCUGCAGAGUGGAGCAGGCCUGACAUGACGACACAGUACGUCUUCUUCUACAGGGACGGGCAGGCUGAUAACACCUUUCAGCAUCCCUCUUAUAAGGACCGGGUGGAGCUGGCGGACAGCAAGGUGAAAGAUGGCAACCUGUCAUUAGUGCUGAAGAAUGUGAUGCUCAACGACUCUGGAACAUACGAGUGUCGAGUUAAACAGGAAGCCACGAAACGCACGACGAGACAUGUUAUUAAGUCCGAGCCCAUCAGCAUCGUCAAAGUGACCGUUAUACAAUCACGUGGUGCAUUUGAACCUAUUGGAGCUGGAGGACACCUGGUUGGACAUGUCGGGCUGGUAGUGGGGCUGGUGGUGAUGGCUGUCAUUUGAUUUGUGGGUGGUGUUAUGAUGUACAAGAACGUUAAAGGAUCCUUACGGUACACCACUUUAUUUGCCCCAAGCUAGGGCUGCAUAAUAUAUUGUUCAGCAUCGUCAACGCUAUCCGACUUUUAGGAGGGUUCGCAGGGUUCUUGAAAAUAACUGAAGAACAGGUAAAAAACACUGAAACAGUGGCUUUGGGUUUGAAAAGAAAAGCAACUUUUGUAUUAUACUGGUGGAAAGCUGCUCUUUUAAAUAAAAUAUGGUUGCUGCAUUAAAGCUCGAGAGGGUAGUUUACACUCAAAAAAGUCUUCAGACCAAAAAUAAAUAUUUUAGCUAAUUUAUUUUCCAACAAAAUCAAUGCAAUAAUUCUAACAUGCCUAAAUAAUUUCAAAUAGAGCAACUGAAGUCAUCUGGUAAAAACUCCUUUGUUUUUUCAUAUCGCAGAAAAGAAAAAUAGUGCAGUCUCAGAUUUUUCCAAUAUCCUACACUAAGCUAUGAAUACCUGCUUUUCCACUGUGGCCUCACCGCAGCCACUCAGAAUUCUCCAUUCUGAUUGGCUGGCAAAUGUCCAGUCAUUUCUCACAACCAAUUAAAGGGCCAGUGUUAUCAAAGACAGCAGCAGUGAGGUUUAGCUGAAUAGCUCGGAGCUGGGGUUAUUUAUGUAACAAAUAACAUACAACAGGUACAGUGAAGUUGAACUUCCAUGGGAAUUUAAAAUUCCGUUAACGGCUGAAAAUUCAUUUAUCAAGCAGCGAUUGUGUUUAAUGUGGAGGUGACUAACGGUCCGAGGAGUAAUGAAGCUGCAGCCUGCAGGCGUGAGGGAUGUCUGCAGGGGCCGGCUUUGAGAGAGAGAGUAUAUCCAUGGUGUAGGUCUGUCUCUGUGAGGAACAAGCUCAGCUUCAGACCUCCGGAGUGAGGGCACUUUUGGAAAGUGAGGGUAUUUCCUCACUUUGCCUUUAAAGGACUUGGUUUGAAGUUUCAGGUUAGAAUCAUACAGAGGCAAAUCACACAUCGUGCUGGUGAUGGUGGUGCAUCUCAACCACUGGGAUUUAAAGAGGUCGAGUUCCUCUCCUUGUGCUGUUACCUUGUCGUGGUGGGGAGGCUUGUGUUACUCCAAAACCCUGAGAGCUGGUGGGAGUUUGAGCUGGGUUGCUCUCAGGUGAGGGGCAGACGAAAGACAGCAUGAUCGGUUUGGGCAAUUGACCCUUUGCUUACCCCUUAGUUACUGUUGCUAAGUCCGACAAACUGUCGGCGCUGCCACUGUCCAUUACUGCAGUUUUGUCAAAUUUGUUGUAAACAGUUUUGCAGUUGCAUUAUAGAUUUGAAGGUUGUAUUCAGGCUGUCAAACUGACUCAAACGGACGUGAAAAAAAUUAAAGAUAGAAGAUAAAUCACACAGUAGGCCUACAAGUGAACCACCACAUCCCCCGACGAUUAAGACAAAAGACAACGAUAUUAAGGCCGACCCAGCUUCACUAUUCCUGUAAAGCUGGGUAGGCCUCUGUUCAUUAUUACAAUCAUUAAAAAGCAGAACAGUAGGGUGAGGGGUGGGGUUAGGGUUAUUUUUCUGGAUUUAUUUUAGGUUUUGGAAAGAGAAUAAAUCUCCUUUCAACCUCUCUGGGUAGCUGCUGUAACUAUUACAAGUGCCCCAGGAACAGCGUUUGACCAUAUGUUAGAAAAAUACAGCCAAGAAAAGCUAGAAAACGACUCUUUUUGCAUUAGAGUCAAUGGAGCGCAUCCAUGAACGUGUCGGACCUCAGAUAGAGCGAAACCUAUACUGCGCUGUGUUUAGCCAGCUGUGUGUUCGGGGUGUGGCUUCGCAAUUAAUUUGGCAUCAAUUACUGACACUGCUGAAACAGCAAAAGGGUCAGCCCCUGGACACCACGGGCUGGUUCAGCCUGGGCUGGGCUGCCUGGGAAAAGAUGUCUGAUUUUGAAACACCCGAGGACUUCAUGUUUUAUCACUAUGUGUGUAAGAGUAAGUUUUGACUUGUGUGCCUGUUAAUGAGCCAGCCGGCUUAAUGAGAGCUUAUGAAAGGUGUGUUGACAGCUCCGAAAGAUGGCCCCAGGACGAUGAAGUUCACAAGAAUAUGUUUUCUCCUUACUGUUACACACAGAGAAAUCAAGGGUACGAAUGCUGUACCCGAGCAGGGUACGAGGACUGUACCUUUGAACGGUGUUGUUCUUGUCUGUACCUCUAAAAGAACAUUUUUGCACCCUUAGUGACAAAAAAAGCGACUUACAAUUGUUAUAUAUUUCAGAGGUCGCACGCCUCUGGAGCAACUAGGGGUUAAGUGUCAGGGGCACAAUGGUGGACGUGUCACAGUGGGAAUUGAACCCGGGUCUCACACACCAGAGGCAUGUGUGUUAUCCACUGGGUCUGCAUCAUUUGCCUGUACAUUAAGUUUAUUAAAAGGACAGUUAUGUACCCUUUGCUGUCAGCAAUGAUGCCGUACCUUCAAAAAUAAACAAAGUUCCACGGUUAAAACACCCUUUCCGUAACUUACAGGGUCCUUUUUUGAAAAAUGGAUCUGUAGGGAACAGAAAUGAUACCCCUCUCUGUGUGUGUUGGCCUGGUCCUCAGUACUCGGGCCCGCCCGUCCACCUCCUUACUCAGACAUGACGCUCUGGGGCGCCACAGUGCGUAACAAACUGACUCCUUACGGGUCUUGACCAUGCGUACAUAUGUGAGCAGAACGUGUUUGACGUGUGUGUGUUACCACACUAAUGCUAAUAUUAAACUUUUAUCCUAGAAUUAUUAUUAUUAUAAUUCCCUUUUUAAUAAUUACAAAGACAUAUAAGGUAUUAUUAACACCGAUCAGCCAUAACAUUAUGACCACCAGCUUUUCCAUCAAAACAGCCCUGAGCCAUCGAGGCCUGGACUCCACUGUGUGGUCUGACACCUUUCUACCAGAACCGGCAUCACUUUGACCGUCUGUUGGAUCGGAUCACACGGGCUCUCCACGUGCACAGGGUGCAAAAUUUACUUUUUUGUCUACUAGCCAAUGGCUAGUGAAUGCUCAAAGUGUACCCGCCACUCAACAGAUUCCCAUUGUUUGUUGGCUGGUGAGUGAAGGAAAUCUACCAUUUCUCUGGUGGCUGGUGCAAAUUUUAAACUCUGCACAUGCAUCAAUGAGCCUUGGACACAUGAGCCUGUCGCUGUUUCACCAGCUUUUCCUUAAUCGAACCGCUUUUGAUCGGUACUGACUCCUGCAGACGGGUUUGGAGAUGCUCUGACCCAGUCGUCUAGCAGUCAGAGUCUGGCUCCUGUCAAAGUCGCUCAAAUCCUCAUGCUGCCCAUUUUUGCUGCUUCUAACACAUCAACUCUGACGACACAAUGUUCGCCUACUGCCUGAUACGUCCCACCCACUCAGUGUUAUUCUCUUCACCUGCAGUGGUCAUAAUGUUACGGCUGAUUGGUGUAUGUUGUUAUGAGAGGGGUUAGUAGUUCUUUCAGGUAGGAGGGGGGAACAUUUCCAAAGAUGUACUGGUGGGUGAGGAGAGAGACCUUGCAGCACUGUGCUGAAUAUACUGCAGACUCUUGUUAGGGAUCCUGACGAGCAGUGCGUUACAGUAAUUGAGUUUUGAGGAGACAAAGGGGGUUUUCAGCAUCAGCGGUGGUGAAACAGAGUUUUGCAAUAUUUCUUAGAUGAUACAAAGAGAAUCUGCAGAGGUUUUUGAUAUGGGCUUCAAAGGUGAGUUGUGGGCGGUCAUGACCAGAGAUAGUUAUACUGGUUAUGGAGCUUGACUGGACUUGAUGUGAGUUGCCAACAAGAACUGCCUCAGUUUUAGAGCUGUAAUACUCGAAGAAGUUCUGUUUCAUCCAGACCUUUAUCUCCUCCUGACAAGAAGAGAUGAAGACGGAGAUGAUGUUGGUGAGGCUGCAGAGGUGUGUGUGUCCGAUUUCAUGUACAGUUGUGUGUCAUCAGCAUAACAGUGAAAUGAGACUCCAUAGCAGCUAAUGACUUGGCCGAGGGGGGAGGAUGGAAAUGAUGAAGAGGAUGGGGCCAAGAACUGACCCCUGGGGGACCCUGCAGGAAACUGUUUGUUGCAGGAACCUUGCACUUCCAAGUGAAAUGUACUCUGUUCGGUCAGUGAGUCCAGGGGUUUAGUGUAGCCUGAGGAGUAAGCCAACGAUCCACAUCGAAUGCUGCAGACAGAUCGAGGAGAAUGAGCUGCCAUUCGUAGGUCGUUUGUGACUCCACCCAGGACUGUUUUUGUGCUGUGAGCAGAGCGGAAACCAGACUGAAAGUUUAAAGAAAAGGGUGUUAUGUUUGAGAUUAUGUUGGGUGAUUGGAAAUGUGCCUGUAAUUAGCAAAUGCAUCUGGAUCAAAGGUGGGUUUUUAUGAGAAGUCGUCGGAUUAUCGUGACUCGUAAGUCAUCAUCAGUCUUUGAACUAAAGAGACCCGAGAAGGGAAUCUGUCGUGCUAGACUGUUUUUAUGUUGUUUUUGAGAACUUUUUACGAGGUGACAUGUUGAAUCCUCGGUUGGUAUGGUAACGGGAACCAAGUAACGUCUAUGAAACUUUUGUGUGUCUGUCAAAAAACACCCGAGUUGUCUUUGGGUCUCUUUAAGACGUACUUAUGUCAAAAAUCGGGACUGUGAAAUUAAUGAAAGCCCUUUGACUCGCUCAGCUCGGGACUGACAUUAAUAUCAUGACAAGCGUGCAGUGAAACGUUAUUGGAUUGGUGGAGGUCAAUAACUACUUUACUGCUUUUUACUACAAGUCCCAAUUUAUUUCUAUACUGUUUGUUCUUUAUUGUUUAGUUCUGUAAACAUUCAGUACACUUAGUAAAGACCGUUUGUGUUUUUGCCAGCCACAGCUUACCGGUCAUAUUAUAGGCACAACUAUACUCAUGAAGUAGUGAUUAUAAUUAGUAAUGAGAGUCAUCCAUGACCAGCAGGGACGACUCAUGAAGAAAGUGGUCGAUAUGUUGAUUUACAGAUAUUCAUGUUGUUACAUAAUUAGAUAUUAAACCAGGAUCUUCCAGUUCUUUACCUCUCACACGCUUCUCAGAGCCUGACAUGCCCCUCACACCUGCAGGCUGCAAUUUCAUUGCUCCUCCGACCGUUAGUGGAGCUGGAUCUCCUCGUCAAACACGCAGGCGCACUGUUGUAUUUUACUGGUUACAUAAAUAACCCCAGCUCCGAGCUCUUCACUGCUGCGGUCUUUGAUAACACUGCCGCUUUAAUUCAAAACUGCAAACAAACACGAACAUCACAGUUUGCACGGCGUGGUUGUGAGAAAUGGAUGGUAGCUCAUCAGCCAAUCAGAAUGGAGAGUCUGAAUGUGUAGAAAACCUGCUGAAACACAGGAGCUGUUAAAGUCCAGGAGUUUGUAACUUAACAUGAAUGAAUUUAUCAUUGAUGUAAAUUGGAGCCACAUGCUCACAAGGUUCCUUUCAUUUCAACAUCGCUGGGGGACGCAUGUCAAUGGUGGGGAGGGUCAUUACCCUAGAAGAUUUUGAGCCUUAAACACUUUAAUUCCUGCAUCCUGCACCAACUUCUAAAAACUUCUAAACUUAUGCCUUUUGGUUUGUGUUUUCUCUCAUUAAUUUGCAGCUCACUGUUAACUGUGUGAGCAAAUUCAAUGUUCAUAUUUUAAUUACUGCUGGGGAAAGCAGUUUGUGUUUUUAGCGAUCUGUUAAAUCCUGAAUACAUUGUGAGUUUUUGACUUGAUGUUUUACAUGAAUGAACCAAAUAAGUCUUUGUUGUUGCUUGUUUCCUAUAAAGUCAACACUGUCAGUUUCUUCUCAACAAGUUUUAUUGGUUAAUUCAAAAAAACUGGUUAAACCAGAACUUAAGUGUUCCAUCGUGCUCUGAUAACCAAAACCUUUGCUUCUUAGAAAAAGUGUUCAGUUUUUGGAAAUAAUGAUGUUCAAUCGAUUUUGUCUUUUAUGUUGACAUGUUUACUCUCCUUUCACCAUCUUACCUUUUAGUGCAUUACUGUGUUGGGGAUUUACAAGUAAAUUAUUAACAUCAUUUAUUACAAAAUAAGUGUUUCAGUUACAGGGGAAAAAAUGUGAUUAAAUUACAGUUACUUAUAAAAAUGUUUAUCAAAUCAUUCUUUGAUAAUUGAAAUAGACUAUUACAUUUUAAACGGGGUAACUUGUGAUCGUUACUCUGUUACAGUGACUACUAAUGAAAUGUUUUUUGUUUUUUUUAUUGUCUUAAGUAUCAGUAACUCUAAAUAAAACCCAUAUCUGCUGAGUGCA